CGUGUGCUCUGGGUGAAAGUCCCCGGGCGAUGGGUAGAGAGUACCAGGUCGGUAAAGACCAGACGCCUUUGAUUGUACUUUCCAGUUCGCGGAGAUGAGAUAUUCGGAGUUGAUUCAAGGGCUCUUGUUUGUGGUUCUGCGGUGCGGCGGAUGUUUUCAGAAUCAUCCGAACUAACAUAUGAUGCGCAGAUUGGACUGACUUGGAUGAGCCCUCUCCCUUGUAGGAUCCGGCAGCCAAUCCCUCGAAUCUCGAUGAGUAGAUCGGAGCGCCCGUGGAAGUCUUUCAAGGCUGAUUGCCUAAGAGCUUGAGCGAGAAAGUUAUGGAAUGAGAGAUUGGUGAGCAGCUUUGUUUUCACAACUAUUCGAGCGCAUUGAUUAUGGAAAUGAUGAGGAAAAGCUGUCGCCCCAGGCAGAACAAGCUCCGGACAAGCUCCAGGAGUCAGUUGUUGAUUGACGCACGUCAGUCUGAUCCUAGUCCAUUAGAUCAAAAGCGUUGGCCAUUCCGGGUGCUUGAUCUGACCAGUAUUCUCCAACUGUAAUAUGCUCUUUUCCUGACAGGUGUCGACCGUCGUGACGGCCCCAAUACUCUAACAGAAUGGGGCUUAUUCC
rnacentral:RNase_MRP_RNA from 1 species